rnacentral:rRNA from 1 species
GACGAACGCUGGCGGCGUGCUUAACACAUGCAAGUCGAACGGUGAAGCGCCUUCCUUUUUGGUGGGUGUGGAUGAGUGGCGAACGGGUGAGUAACACGUGAGUAACCUGCCCCCUUCUUCUGGAUAACCGCAUGAAAGUGUGGCUAAUACGGGAUAUUCUGGGUCUGUCGCAUGAUGGGUCUGGGAAAGAUAUUGUUUCGGUGGGGGAUGGGCUCGCGGCCUAUCAGCUUGUUGGUGGGGUGAUGGCCUACCAAGGCGGUGACGGGUAGCCGGCCUGAGAGGGUGGACGGUCACACUGGGACUUAGACACGGCCCAGACUCCUACGGGAGGCGGCAGUGGGGAAUAUUGCACAAUGGGCGCAAGCCUGAUGCAGCGACGCCGCGUGAGGGAUGGAGGCCUUCGGGUUGUGAACCUCUUUCGCCAGUGAAGCAGGCCUGCCUCGUUUGUGGGUGGGUUGACGGUAGCUGGAUAAGAAGCGCCGGCUAACUACGUG